rnacentral:rRNA from 1 species
CCUACGGGUGGCAGCAGUGGGGGAUAUUGCACAAUGGGGGAAACCCUGAUGCAGCGACGCCGCGUGGGCGAAGAAGUAUUUCGGUAUGUAAAGCCCUAUCAGCAGGGAAGAAGAAAUGACGGUACCUGAGUAAGAAGCACCGGCUAAAUACGUGCCAGCAGCCGCGGUAAUACGUAUGGUGCAAGCGUUAUCCGGAUUUAUUGGGUUUAAAGGGUGCGCAGGCGGCGUGUCAAGUCAGCGGUAAAAUGUCGGGGCUCAACCCCGGCCGGCCGUUGAAACUGGCGUGCUCGAGUUGGAGAGAAGUAUGCGGAAUUCGUGGUGUAGCGGUGAAAUGCAUAGAUAUCACGAAGAACCCCGAUUGCGAAGGCAGCAUACCGGCUCCACACUGACGCUGAGGCACGAAAGCGUGGGUAUCGAACAGGAUUAGAUACCCGGGUAGUC